CCUAUCGGAGCAGCCUCCAAACUCCUACUUGCAUGCAAGCGGGGUGGGGAUCUCUCAGCUGUGAAGGUAGGCUUCACACUGCCUAUCAGAGCUUGCGUGCAAGCAGGAGGGGGCUGGGAUAUCUCAUUUAGGCAAUGGGAAGCCUCCCUUCCCAGUCGAGGGAUCCCCUCCCUCUCCUGCUUGCACGCAAGUAGGAAUGGGAUUGGGGCUGCUCCGAUGGG